rnacentral:rRNA from 1 species
GAUGAACGCUGGCGGCGUGCCUAAUACAUGCAAGUCGAGCGAACAGACGAGGAGCUUGCUCCUCUGACGUUAGCGGCGGACGGGUGAGUAACACGUGGAUAACCUACCUAUAAGACUGGGAUAACUUCGGGAAACCGGAGCUAAUACCGGAUAAUAUAUUGAACCGCAUGGUUCAAUAGUGAAAGACGGUUUUGCUGUCACUUAUAGAUGGAUCCGCGCCGCAUUAGCUAGUUGGUAAGGUAACGGCUUACCAAGGCAACGAUGCGUAGCCGACCUGAGAGGGUGAUCGGCCACACUGGAACUGAGACACGGUCCAGACUCCUACGGGAGGCAGCAGUAGGGAAUCUUCCGCAAAGGGCGAAAGCUUGACGGAGCAACACCGCGUGAGUGAUGAAGGUCUUCGGAUCGUAAAACUCUGUUAUUAGGGAAGAACAAAUGUGUAAGUAACUAUGCACGUCUUGACGGUACCUAAUCAGAAAGCCACGGCUAACUACGUG